rnacentral:lncRNA from 1 species
CUCUAUCUAGCAUGUAUAGAAAUGUAUUGUAAUGUUCUGCGUGUGCUAGUUGUAAUGUGUGAUCUAUCUCUAUCUAGCAUGUAUUGACUCAUGAAUGAACUGACUCAUUGUAUAAUUUUGCGUUCUAGUAAUAAUUCUAGUAUCUUCCUGAACUACCCCUAUAGUAGCUUGCUAGUAAUAUGACUUGUAUGUAUGAACAUGAAGNAGUUCUAGUAUCUUCCUGAACUACCCCUAUAGUAGCUUACUAGUAAUAUGACUUGUACGUAUGAACAUGAAAGGUAGCUACCCAAGGGUAUUGAACUGACCGAUAGAACUUUUAUGACUAUGUAUGUACACAUGAUAUAUAACUAAUAAUUAAAUGACUGUCGGACGGAUACCCGAUAACCUACCAGACCACAUCCCUACGGGGAAAAGGAAAUAAAGCGGGCUAGCCUUCCUAAGUCCUUUAAGCAUUACUUAUAUAACUAUACAUAUUUAGGCAUGCAAUU